rnacentral:rRNA from 1 species
GUGUCAGCCGCCGCGGUAAGACGAACCAUCCAAACGUUAUUCGGAAUUACUGGGCUUAAAGGGUGCGUAGGCUGCGCAGAAAGUUGGGUGUGAAAUCCCUCGGCUUAACCGAGGAACUGCGCCCAAAACUACUGUGCUUGAGGGAGACAGAGGUGAGCGGAACUUAGGGUGGAGCGGUGAAAUGCGUUGAUAUCCUAAGGAACACCCGUGGCGAAAGCGGCUCACUGGGUCUCUUCUGACGCUGAUGCACGAAAGCUAGGGGAGCGAACGGGAUUAGAUACCCUCGUAGUCC